AGAGUUUGAUCCUGGCUCAGGAUGAACGCUAGCGACAGGCUUAACACAUGCAAGUCGAGGGGUAUCCCGCUUUCGGGCGGGAGCGACCGGCGCACGGGUGAGUAACGCGUAUAGAACCUACCUUUUACAGGGGAAUAGCCCAGAGAAAUUUGGAUUAAUGCCCCAUAGUAUUGUUGAAUGGCAUCAUUUAAUAAUUAAACAUUUAUGGGUAAAAGAUGGCUAUGCGUUCUAUUAGCUAGAUGGUAAGGUAACGGCUUACCAUGGCGACGAUAGAUAGGGGUCCUGAGAGGGAGAUCCCCCACACUGGUACUGAGACACGGACCAGACUCCUACGGGAGGCAGCAGUGAGGAAUAUUGGACAAUGGAGGCAACUCUGAUCCAGCCAUGCCGCGUGCAGGAAGACGGCCCUAUGGGUUGUAAACUGCUUUUAUACAGGAAGAAACCUCCCCACGUGUGGGGAGCUGACGGUACUGUAAGAAUAAGGACCGGCUAACUCCGUGCCAGCAGCCGCGGUAAUACGGAGGGUCCAAGCGUUAUCCGGAAUCAUUGGGUUUAAAGGGUCCGUAGGCGGACUAAUAAGUCAGAGGUGAAAUCCCACAGCUUAACUGUGGAACUGCCUUUGAUACUGUUAGUCUUGAGUUAUAUGGAAGUAGAUAGAAUGUGUAGUGUAGCGGUGAAAUGCAUAGAUAUUACACGGAAUACCGAUUGCGAAGGCAGUCUACUACGUAUAUACUGACGCUAAGGGACGAAAGCGUGGGGAGCGAACAGGAUUAGAUACCCUGGUAGUCCACGCCGUAAACGAUGGACACUAGUUGUUGGAUUAUUUCAGUGACUAAGCGAAAGUGAUAAGUGUCCCACCUGGGGAGUACGAUCGAUCGCAAGGUUGAAACUCAAAGGAAUUGACGGGGGCCCGCACAAGCGGAGGAACAUGUGGUUUAAUUCGAUGAUACGCGAGGAACCUUACCUGGGCUUAAAUGUAGAUUGCAUAGGGUAGAAAUAUCCUUUUCCUUCGGGACUAUUUACAAGGUGCUGCAUGGUUGUCGUCAGCUCGUGCCGUGAGGUGUCGGGUUAAGUCCCAUAACGAGCGCAACCCCUAUCGUUAGUUGCCAGCGGGUCAUGCCGGGGACUCUAGCGAGACUGCCACCGUAAGGUGAGAGGAAGGUGGGGAUGACGUCAAAUCAGCACGGCCCUUAUGUCCAGGGCUACACACGUGUUACAAUGGCAGGUACAAAGGGCAGCUACAUGGCAACAUGAUGCUAAUCUCUAAAGCCUGUCCCAGUUCGGAUUGGAGUCUGCAACCCGACUCCAUGAAGUUGGAUUCGCUAGUAAUCGGAUAUCAGCAAUGAUCCGGUGAAUACGUUCCCGGGCCUUGUACACACCGCCCGUCAAACCAUGGAAGCUGGGGGUACCUGAAGUCUGUGACCGCAAGGAGCGGCCUAGGGUAAAACCGGUAACUCUGGGGCUAAGUCGUAACAAGGUAACC
rnacentral:rRNA from 1 species